CAAGUCAAGCAUUGAACAGCUGGAGAGAGAAAAUGCAGAGAAACCAAAGGUGGCCUUUUACACAGCUCUGACUGAUACAGGAUAUGUUGGACCACACAACACAGACACCACACUGAAAUACAGCAAGGUCUUCACCAACAUUGGCAAUGCUUACAAUCCAGCUACAGGUUUCUUCACAUCACCAAUCAAAGGGGUCUACUAUCUCUGGUUCACUGUGUGUGGUAAUCACACAGGUGCAAGAACAACCAGAAGAUCAUGCUUACUGAUGAGAUAAUGGAAAAAGCGAGUGUUGAGCAUGUAACUAACUCUGUUGUCUUGGAGCUGAUAGCAGGAGAUACAAUUCACCUGGUUCUCCCAUCAACCUAUUCUGUCUAUAACGAUACAAAGAACCACAGCACCUUCAGUGGCUCCCUUCUCUUCCCACUGUGAGGAUGUUGUUUAGACUGCUGUGUGAUAGAUUUGUCACAAACACUGUUGUUAUUGUCUACACUGUGAGUCUUUAGAACUGCUGAUAUAUCUCUACACCACUGGCUCCAAAACAAAUGUCUGUACAUUUACUGCAUGUAUCAAAUAAUGUGAUUCUGAAUCUGACU